GGGCUCAUAACCCGAAGGUCGUCAGUUCAAAUCUGGCUCCCGCAACCA
rnacentral:tRNA from 1 species